CAAGUACUCUCUCCGUCCGAAAAAGUUUGUCCCCCAAAUGCAUGUAUCUAGCAUCAAAUUAGUGCUAGAUACAUUCAUUUGAAGGACAAACUUGGGACAAGUUUUUUUCGAAGGAGGGAGUAUUGC
rfam:Triticum urartu cultivar G1812 contig965014, whole genome shotgun sequence.